rnacentral:tRNA from 1 species
AGGGAGCUCGAUUAAGUAGAUCAAAUAGUCUUCAAAAUUAUUAGUGCUGGUUCAAAUCCAGCGUUCCCUG